UGGUCAAGUUAUUAAGGGUGCAGGGCGGAUGCCUUGGCACUAGGAGCCGAUGAAGGACGUGAUAAGCUGCGAUAAGCUUCGGGGAGUUGCACGUAAACUUUGAUCCGAAGAUUUCCGAAUGAGGAAACUCACUUAGAGUAAUGUCUAAGUAUCAUUAAGUGAAUACAUAGCUUAAUGAGGGGAACUCAGGGAACUGAAACAUCUAAGUACCUGAAGGAAGAGAAAGAUAUUCGAUUCCGUAAGUAGCGGCGAGCGAACGCGGAUUAGCCCAAACCAAU
rnacentral:rRNA from 1 species